rnacentral:rRNA from 1 species
UACGGAGGGUGCAAGCGUUAUCCGGAUUCACUGGGUUUAAAGGGUGCGUAGGCGGGUAAGUAAGUCCGUGGUGAAAUCUCUGAGCUUAACUCAGAAACUGCCGUGGAUACUAUUUGCCUUGAAUAUUGUGGAGGUGAGCGGAAUAUGUCCUGUAGCGGUGAAAUGCUUAGAUAUGACAUAGAACACCAAUUACGAAGGCAGCUCACUACACAAUCAUUGACGCUGAGGCACGAAAGCGUGGGGAUCAAACAGG